GGAACAAAGGAUUAUACCGGACUUACCUAUACCGAGGUAUUGACGGUGAUUCUCAAAUAUCGCAGAACAGAAUGUGAUAUGAUGAGAUAGAAUGCAAUAGAAAGAAAGACACAGGGAACGGGUUACCACGGUCAAAGCAAACCCUUUCAUUCCGACAUUCCGAAUUAAAGAAUUUGGAAUGAAUCCAAUCUCCCCAAGUAGGAUUUGAACCUACGACCAGUCAGUUAAUAGCCGACCGCUCUACCACUGAGCUACUAAGGAACAACGUGAGAUUAGAUCUCAUAGAGUUCAAUUCCCGUUCUCAACCCAUAACCAAUAUAAGCUCGAAGUUUCCUUCGUAACUCCCGGAACUUCUUCGUAGUUUCUUCGUUCCAUGCCUCAUUUCAUAGGGAACCUCAAAGUGGCUCUAUUUCAUUAUAUUCCAUCCAUAUCCCCAUUCUAUUCAUUUAAUAUCCCCUUUCCUUUGGUGUCAUUGACAUAAGAGAUGUCGUUUCUAGUCUAUCUCUUUCUAUUUCUAUAUUCUAUUUCUAUAUAUAUAUGGAAAGUUUAAAAAUCAUCAUAUAAUAAUGCAGAAAUUGCAAUAGAAAAGAAAAAGGGAGGUUUGUGAUGAUUUUUAAAUCUUUUAUACUAGGUAAUCUAGUANNNUUUGUAACAAGUAGUUUUGUUGGUUGGUUAAUUGGUCACAUUUUAUUCAUGAAAUGGGUUGGAUUGAUAUUAGUCUGGAUACAACAAAAUAAUUCUAUUAGAUCUAAUGUACUUUUUCGAUCUAAUAAGUACCUUGUGUCAGAACUGAGAAAUUCUAUGGCUUGAAUCUUUAGUAUUCUCUUAUUUAUUACCUGCGUCUACUCUUUAGGCAGAAUACCGUCACCCAUUUUUACUAAGAAACUGAAAGAAACCUCAGAAACGGAAGAAAGGGAGGAAAGUGAGGAAGAAACAGAUGUAGAAAUAAAAACAACUUCUGAAACGAAGGGGACUAAACAGGGAUCCAUCGAAGAAGAUCCCUCUUCUUCCAUUUUUUCGGAAGAAAAGAAGGAUCGGGACAAAAUCGACAAAACGGAAGAGAUCCAAGUGAAUGGAAAGGAAAAAACAAAGGAUGAAUUUCAUUUUCACUUUAACGAGACAUGCUAUAAAAAUAGACCAUUUUAUGAAACUUUUUAUCUGGAUGGGAAUCAAGAAAAUUCGAAGUUAGAAAUAUUGAUAGAAAAAAAAAAAAAAAAUCUUUUCUGGUUUGAAAAACCUAUUGUAACUAUUCUUUUUGACUCGAAACGUUAGAAUCGUCCAUUACGAUAUAUAAAAAAUAAUUAGUUUGAGAAUGCUGGAAUGCUAUAUAAAUGUUAAAUGUAAAUAAUAAAUUCAAUUUAUUUAAAUAAUAUAAAUAAUUAAUAAAUUUAAAUAAUAAAUAUACAUAUAAUAAAUAUAUAUACGUAUAAUAAAUAUACGUAAAUAAUAAAUAUUUUAUUUAUUUAUUAUUAUUUAUUAAAUAUUAAUAUUAAAUUCAAAAUUAUAUUAAAUAAUUAAAAUUAGAAUUAUAUUCUAUAUUAAAUAAUUGUAAAAAAAUAAUUAUAUAAUUGAAUAUUUUAUAAUUAUAAUAUAUAUAUAAUUAUAAUAUAAUUGAAUAUUUUUAUUUAUUUUUUAUUUUAUUUUAAUAUAAUUCAAUAUUCUAAAUUUAAUAUAAUUCAAUAUUAUAAUUAUAAUAUUCUAUUCAAUUAAAUAUUAUAAUAAAAUUAAAAUAAAAAAAUUCAAUAUUAAAAUUAAUAAAAUUUAAAAUAAAGUCUUACAAUUUGUAAAUAAAAUUAAAUUUUUUUUUACAAAUUGUAAAAAGAUUAAUGCAUAAAAUAAAUAUAAUAAGAGAUAAGAAGAGAUGCGACCGCUUCCUACAUAUUUUAUACCAUCUCCUACAAAGAAACUGGUAACACCAACUCCAUUGGUAAUUCCAUCAAUUAUUCGUUUAUCAAAAAAAUGAAUUAAUUCAGCUAAUUUUCUUAUACCUCCAAUAAAAGAUAUUUCAUAAAAAGCAUCUAUGUAACCUCGAUUAUAGGACCAGUUAUAUAUGACGUUUAUUAUUUUGUCCCAAAGAAUUCUCUUAGAACAUUUUUUAGCGAGCGAAUUAAAGAAAUUCAAAUUUUGUAACGAUGAAUAAACAGGCUUAUAAAAAGAGGACGCUAUAAAUAUUCCGAAAAAAGCUAUACUGACUGAAAAAAUUGCAUUUGUUACAAAUUCAUACCAAUCCACAGAAUUCUUUGAAUUUUGAUGCAAAAGUUUUAAAGACGGAGUUAACAGUUUUGACAAUAUAUCCACCUCCAUUCCUUUUUGAUUGAAACGAAUUUGAUUGAAAGGAAUUCCUAUGGCUCCAAUAAACAAAGCAAAUAGUACCAAGACAAGCAUAGAAAAUAACAUAGUAUUAUCCGAUUCAUGAGGAUAGGCAAAAAUCCUUUUAGUGUUAAAAUUUUUAAUAGUAAUAAAAGGCCACAUCAUCUUUCUUACAUUACCAUCAAUUUGAUAUGUGUUCUUCCAAAAAAAAGAAGCCCUUUCGUUAUUAUUCGUUGUUAAGAAAGGUAAUAAACCCAAACUUUCGUUAAGCAUUUUUUAUCCUUCUUUACCCCAUAAAGAUAUUGAAUAAAAUGAACUAUUUUUUUUACCACUGUAAUUUUUUAAAUGAACAUUUAAAUGUCCUUCAAAAGUAAGUAAAUAAACACGAAACAUAUAAAAUGCAGUUAAUCCGGCCGUGAAACAAGCUAUUAUUGCGAAAACCGGCGAAUACAACCAACUAUCGUUAAGAAUUUCAUCUUUGGACCAAAAACAGGCGAAGGGUGGAAUACCACAAAGAGAAAGUGUUCCUAAAAAAAAAGCAGUUUUUGUAAUUGGAAUAUGUUUUGUUAAACCACCCAUAAGAAUCAUAUUUUGACUCUUAUCUGGAGAAUAACCAACAAUAGCUUCCAUUGAAUGAAUAAUGGAUCCAUAUCCUAAAAACAAUAAUGCUUUCGAAUAGGCAUGAGUAAUCAAAUGAAAUAAAGCGACUCGAUAAGACCCCAUACCUAGAGCUAACAUCAUAUAACCUAAUUGAGACAUUGUAGAAUAGGCUAAACUUCUCUUAAUAUCUUUUUGAGGAAGAGCUAAAGUAGCUCCUAAAAAUAUUGUUAUUAUACCUAUCAAAGCUAUUAGAUUCAUUAUGUAAGGUAUGACUACAAAAAGAGGAAAAAGUCAAGCUACAAGAAAAAUUCUUGCCGCUACCAUAGUAGCAGCAUGUAUUAGAGCCGAAAUAGGAGUAGGCCCUUCCAUGGCAUCCAGUAACCAUACAUGGAGAGGAAAUUGUGCCGAUUUAGCAAUUGCGCCAGAAAAUACUAGAAAGGCACACAAAGUAACAAAUAAAAAAUGAACCUGAUUAUUAUAAACCAAGUUAUUCAAUAUUUUGAACAAAUCCCGAAAUUCGAAACUGCCCGUUAUCCAAUAAAUGCCCAAAAUUCCCAAUAAUAAACCAAAAUCCCCUACACGAUUAGUUACAAAGGCUUUUUGACAAGCAUUCGAUGCAAUAGGUCGUGUGAACCAAAACCCUAUUAAUAGAUAAGAACACAUUCCAACCAACUCCCAAAAAAUAUAAAUUUGUAUCAAAUUAGAACUAGUAACUAAUCCCAACAUUGAAGUAUUGAAAAAACUCAUAUAAGCAAAAAAUCUCAAAUAGCCUUGAUCAUGAGACAUAUAAUUGUCACUAUAAAAAAGAACCAUAAUUCCAACUGUAGUAAUUAAUACUGACAAAAUAGAAGUAAGUGGGUCAAUCAAGUGUCCGAAUUCUAAAGAAAAAUCAUUAUUGAUAGUCCACGACCAUAUAUAUUGAUAAAUAAAACUGCUAUUUAUUUGGUGAAUAGACAAGUCGAUUGAAAAAAUCAUGACUAUACUUAACAAGAAAAGGCUUGGAAAAGCCCACAUACGACGAAGUUUUUUUGUUGCCGCCGGAAAAAGUAGGAGUCCCGCUCCUAUUAACAUAGGAGCUGGGAAUGUAACAAAAGGUAUGACCCAUGAAUAUUGAUAUAUAUGUUCCAUAAAAAAACUUUUUGAAUUGAUAAUUAAUUGUUUCUUGUUUCUGAUUCAUCGGCUCUUAUAUCUUUUUAAAUAAGUCAGUCAAUAAAAAAAAAAUAUGUAAAACUUCAAUCGAAUUUUAUAUUCUUAAUUAUUCUGAAUUUUCCAAAAUACUUCACAUACAAAAUACUUCACAUAUUUAAAUCAAAAAGUUAAAAUUGGUCAAAUCAAAUAAAUAAAAAUAUUAGUGAAAAAAAAUACUUAUUCUAAAUAAAAAAAAUAAAUUAUAAUUUUAUUAUUAAAAUUUUAUUAUUAAUAUUAAUUACAUUCCAUAAUUAUUAAAUAUUAAUUACAUAUACAUAAUUAUUACAUUAAUUAUUAAUAUUAAUUUAAUUACAUAAUUACAAGUUUUUAUAUACAUAGAGAAAAGAUAAAGAAUUUUAACAAUUAUAAGAAAAGUAGUAUUUUUUUUCUUGAUAGAAAUAAAAAAAGAAAGAUGAUUUUAUCGGAUCCUUACUGGAUCAAAAUAAUUAUUUUUUUGAGUUCUUUUAUUUUUUUUAUUCAGAAUUAUUAACUAGUGGAUUUUGGAACGGAUUUAUUGCCUUUCAUUAUGUUUGUAGAAAAGACUAUCAUAUUUGAAACUUUUCCUUUACAUAAGAUAAAAAGCAAAGAAUUACUAAAUUUUUUUCCUUUUUUAACAAAUUAAUAGUCUCAUUCAAUUUGAAAAUUUUAAUUCAAUUAGAUAUACUUUUUCUUCAAGUUUGACCAAUUACUAGAAAAAUGAAGUUAAAGUCUUUUUAUUAGGAUAAAUAAAAUUUAGAGUCUUAAACUUUAUUGCUGUAUUUUAAUCCACGUAUAUAUGGAAUAUAAUGAAAAAGGCAGAAAUAGAAAAAAAAAUAAGCGGAUAGGCUUCUUUUUUGACAAGAGUAUAAUUGAGAGACUAAAUACAUAAAUAUAGUAAAGAACAAUUUUGUUUUGAACAAUAAAUGUCUUUCACAUCCAACUAUAACAAUAAACAACUUCUUUAUUAUGGCAGUUCCAAAAAAGCGCACUUCUAGAUCAAAAAAGCGUAUUCGAAAAAAUAUUUGAAAAAAAAAGGAUAUUGGGCAGUAUUAAAAGCUUUUUCAUUAGCGAAAUCUCUUUCUACAGGUAAUUCAAAAAGUUUUUUUGUGCAACAAAUAAAAAAUAAAAGGUUGUUUCUAAUAUAAAAUAGAAAUAUAUAUAAUAUAGAAUAGAAAAUAUAUAAAAUAUAUAGAAAAUAUAUAAAAAGGAUUUCCAUAUAUCUUUUUCAACUUUAGAACAUAUAUUAACUCAUAUAUCUUUUUCAAUCGUAUCACUUGUAAUUACAAUUCAUUUGAUAACUUUAGUAGUCGAUGAAUUUGUUGAACUAUAUGAUUCGUCAGAAAAGGGCAUGAUAACCACUUUUUCCUGUAUAACAGGAUUAUUAGUUACUCGUUGGAUUUCUGGGGGACAUUUACCAUUAAGCGAUUUAUAUGAAUCAUUAAUCUUUCUUUCAUGGGCUUUUUCCAUUAUUCAUAUGGUUCCGUAUUUUAAAAAUAUAAAAAUUAUUUAAGCGCAAUAACCGUCCCAAGUACUUUUCUUACCCAAGGGUUUGCUACUCAGGCCUUUUAACUAACACGCAUCAAUCCAAAAUCUUAGUGCCUGCUCUCCAAUCCCAGUGGUUAAUGAUGCACGUAAGUAUGAUGAUAUUGGGCUAUGCAGCUCUUUUGUAUGGAUCAUUAUUAUCAGUUGCAUUUCUAGUAAUCACAUUUCGAAAAAUCAUAAGAAUUAUUGAUGUUGAUAAAAGCAAUAAUUUAUUAAAUGAUUCAUUUUCCUUUAGCUUUAGUGGGAUACAAUAUAUGAUGGAAAGAAAGAAUGUUUUAAAAAAUAUUUAUUUUCUUUCUUCUAGGAAUUAUUACAGGUUUCAAUUAAUUCAACAAUUAGAUGACUGGGGUUAUCGUAUUAUAAGUAUAGGGUUUAUCUUUUUAACCAUAGGUAUUCUUUCGGGAGCAGUCUGGGCUAAUGAAGCAUGGGGAUCAUAUUGGAAUUGGGACUCCAAGGAAACUUGGGCAUUUAUUACGUGGACCAUAUUCGUAAUUUAUUUUCAUACUCGAACAAAUAAAAAUUUUGAGGGUUUAAAUUCCACAAUUGUUGCUUCUAUUGGUUUUCUUAUAAUUUGGAUAUGCUAUUUUGGAGUUAAUUUAUUAGGAAUAGACUACAUAGUUAUGGUUCAUUUACAUUAACAAUUAACAUCUAAUUGAAUUGAAGAAAGGAAAGGGUCUGACGGAUGCAACUAUAUGGGGCAGCAAAGCAUAUAUACAAAAAGCUUCGGGUAAACCGUUGAGAACCUUUUGAAUCAUUAUAUUACUUGAUUCAAAAAGUCAUUAUAUUACUUGAUUCAAAAAGUUCUCACAAAUGCCAAAAUAUUUAGUUACAAUUCCGUUUUUUUUAUUGAACUUAAAUUUAAGAGACGAAAAAAUAAGUUUUUUUCCUUGUAUAACAUAACGAUUUUAAAAAAUGAAAAAUCAUAGGAUUUCUUUUUCAUUUUGAGUUUUAUUUAGAAAAACUAUCUAUAAAAAUAAUUAGAUAGAAGAGCUUCGACCCUGCCAACUGAUAAUGAAAAAAGGAAAUCCGGAUAAAUACCAAUACCUAUUACAGGCAAAAGGAUAGAGAUCGAAACAAAUAACUCCCUCGGUCCAGAAUCAAAAAAAUAAGAGUUUGGAGCAUUAAACAGCUUGUAUUCAUAAAACAUCUGGCGUAACAUAGAUAAUAAAUAAAUAGGAGUUAAUAUCAUUCCAACUGCCAUUCCAAAAGUAAUUACUAUUUUUGACAUUAAAAGAUAUUUUUGGCCGGUAAUUAUUCCAAAAAAUACUGCCAAUUCCGCAAAAAAAUCGCUCAUGCCUGGUAAUGCAAGGGAAGCUAGUGAUAAGAUACUGAAUGUCGUGAAUAUUUUUGGCAUUAGUGUAGCCAUUCCGCCCAUUUCAUCAAGAUACACACGACGUAUUCUAUCAUAACCCGUUCCUACUAAGAAAAAAAGUGCAAUGCCAAUAAACCCAUGUUGAAGCUGCAUAGAUUAUUUGCAUGACGCCUACUAUUAUCAACCAGGGAGAAAAGAUAGAAUGAGCAUGAGGUAAUAAUUCCAUAUUGAUUCGAACCAACCCAUACUCCCCCAUUUUUAAUAAGAUUCCGGCUAGAAGCAUACAAGUACUGUAAUGUGCUUCCCCAUGGGUGUCUGGUAACCAUAUAUGUAAGGGUAUAAUCGGUAAUUUGACAGCAAAAGCAAUAAGAAAUCCAAUAUAAAAAUAUAUUUCUAGCACCACAGGAUAUGAUUGAUUGGCUGAUGUUUCAAAAUUGAAUCUUGGUUCAUUGGAACCAUAUAAAGCGAUACCCAAAGCUCCCAUUAAUAAAAAAACGGAACCCCCAGUAGUAUACAAAAUAAACUUUGUAGCUGAAUACAGACGUUUCUUCCCCCCCCCACAUGGAUAGAAGUAGAUAAAUCAGAAUUAAUUCUAACUCCCACAUGACAAAAAAAAGCAAAAGAUCUUGAGAAGAAAAUAAUCCUAUUUGACCACUAUACAUUGCUAACAUCAGAAAAUUAAAUAAGCGGGAAUCACGAGUAAUUGGCUAAGCCGCUAAAGUAGCUAAAGUGGUGAUAAAUCAUGUCAGUAAAAUAGGGCUUAAAGAAAAUCCAUCUAUUCCUAAUCUCCAGUAAAAAUCAAAAAAUUGGAUCCAUUUAUAAUCUUCUGUUGAUUGGAUUAAUGGGUCGUCCAAUUGGAAAUAAUAAGAGAAUGCAUAAGUCAUUAAAAGGAGUUCUAAAAUACAUAUAAACAAAGUAUACCACCUAAUUACCUUAUUUCCUCUAUGGGGGAAAAAGAAAAUUAAGGAACCCGCAGAUAUCGGUAAAACUACAAAUAUUGUUAACCAAGGAAAAGAAUUCGUGGUAAAGGCAAGAUACAUUUGGACUAGAAAAACCCGUACUCGAAAACAUAAUAUAUAUAUAUAUUUUGUAUUUUUUGUUUUUCGAGUACGGGUUUUUGUCGGUAAACAUAAAAUCAAAUGCAUUCAAGUGGAUUUUUCUGAAAAGUAUCAAUAAGCUAGACCCAUGCUUUGGGUUGUUUCAUGCCAUAAAUAAACUCGAACACUCAAGAAAUCUGUUGGACAGGCGGAUUCACAUCUCUUACAACCAACACAGUCUUCUGUUCUUAGAGCAGAAGCGAUUUGCUUAGAUUUACACUCAUCCCAAGGUAUCAUUUCUAAUACAUCUGUGGGGCAGGCUCGGACACAUUGAGUACACCCUAUACAUGUAUCAUAAAUCUUUACUGAAUGCGACAUUGGAUUUCUAAAUUUUUUAACGUCAUAAAAUUUCAAUCUAGUAAAUUUCUAAAUGAAUCGUCAUAUAUUUAGACACCAGACGAAUCAAUGAUUUAUCAGAAUUUUUCUAUUGAAUUCUGGAUUGACUCGUGAGAUAGGGCCAGGAUACUUUAAUUUCGUACGUUUUCGCAAACAUGAUCGGAUAAGUUACGUAUCAUACAUGCCAACUUGAAUUAAUGAAUAUGAAAAUUAUAUUCUAUAUGAUUAAUCCUACUUAUUCAACAAAUUCGAUUGAUUGAUACAUAUUGAUUUUCUAUUAUGAUAAAUUGACGAAACAAUAGCUGGUCCAAUAGCUGCUUCAGCGGCUGCAAUAGCUAUAACAAAAAUUGAAAAAAUAUUUCCCUUUAAUUGGCGACUAUUAAUAAAAUCAGAAAAUGUUACGAAAUUUAUAUUAACUGCAUUCAGUAUAAGUUCAAGGCACAUAAGGGCUCUACCAUAUUUCAUGAUCAAUCCAUAGAUACCGAUAAAAAAUAAAUAGGCACUCAAAGCGAGUACAUGUUCGAGCAUCAUUGACCAACUCCUUAUCAAUUUCGAUUUAUUUCAAUAUGAACAACAAUUCAACAUCAAUAGAUUGGAUUGACUAGAAUAAGAAUAUCCAAAGUACAGAACAAAGAAAUAUAUGGAUAAAGAUCAAAAUGGAUAUGGAUAAUAGAUCAAAUAAAAGAAUUUAUACAUAAAUAAUCUUUAAAUGGAAUUGAAAAAAAAAAUGUGAUAACAUAGAACAAAUAGAUUGGGGUUACUAAUUCUAAAGAUUUAUUGCUGACGAGCCGCAGCAAUCGCACCUAUCAAAGCAACUAAAAGAAUUAUUGAAAUGAAUUCAAACGGAAGAAAAAAAUCUGUUGAUAAAUGAAUUCCAAUUUGUUGACCAUUACUUAUUAAAUCUUGUUCUAUAAUCUGAUUUUAUUUUUGUAGUCCAAAUAAUCCCGUACCAUGAUGUAUCUGGAAUAAUAGUAAUUAGUGAAACAAAAAUACUUGUACAAAUUAAGGAAGUAACUCCGUUUCCAACAGUCCAAAGAUUAGAAUCUUUGUAAUAUUCUGAACCAUUCAUGAAUAUCACGGCAAAUAUAAUUAAAACGUUUAUGGCUCCUACAUAAAUAAGGAGCUACGCAGCAGCUACAAAAUGAGAGUUUGAUAAAAUAUAGAAUAAAGAUAUACAAACAAGAACCAACCCUAAUGAAAAGGCAGAAUAAAUUGGGUUGGUAAGUAAUACCACUCCUAGAACUCCUAAUAUAAGACCUAAUCCCAUAAAAAAUAAAAGAAAAUCAUGUAUUAGUCCAGGCAAAUCCAUUGCACGUAAAAUAAGAGAUAAAAAAAUUGAAUUGUUUUUUCAUGACCUUAUUGACCUGACCAGGAAAAAUUUAUUUAUAAUAGGUUCUAAACCAUAAGGGGUGUAAAUUACUAUAGGUAUAGCUAUUGUAUGAAUCUCAUUCUUUCUCGAAAAAGGCAUUCUAAAUUUAAUUUUAGAAAUAAUUAUGGCUAGAAUUACGCAUAUAUUAAUAGAUUUUCACAAAAAAAUAAAGCCGCGAUGCAAUUCUGACCAAUUAAAUCAAUAGCUGGAAUUUGUAAUUUUCGUAUUUAUUGACCAAGAAAAAUUAAAAAAAACCUAUUGCAGCCCUUUAGAUCAAAACAGAAUUUUAGUUUAAUAAUUGUACUUUUUAAUCAAUCAAAGCGUUUUAUCCUUUUUGUUUCUAGUUGAAUUCAAAAUUGUUCGAAUUGUAUAAUCGUCGACUACUGACAUUGGUAAACGACCUAAAGCAAUUUGAUUAUAAUUCAAUUCGUGAUGAUCAUAAGUGGAAAGUUCAUAUUCUUCAGUCAUUGAUAAACAAUUUGGUGGACAAUACUCAACACAGUUGCCACAAAAUAUACAGAUUCUGAAAUCAAUACUAUAAUUAAGCAACUGUUUCUUUCGAAUGUCAGUUUCCAAUUUCCAAUCAACAAUAGGUAGAUCUAUAGGACAUACCCGAACACAUACUUCACAAGCAAUGCAUUUAUCAAAUUCAAAAUGGAUUCGACCGCGGAAAUGCUCUGAUGUGAUUAAUUUUUCAUAAGGAUAUUGAAUAGUUACAGGUAAACGAUUUGCAUAGGAUAAGAUAAUCAUGAAACUUUGACCAAUAUAUCGUGCAACUCAUAUGGUUUGUUGCCCAUAAUUCAUGAACCCAGUUACCAUGGGAAACAUAUCAUGAAUAUUUAUGAAUGAUUUUCUAUUUUGUUUUUCUCUUAUUUGAAUUUGAAAACAAGCCAUGAAUAUAGAAAAAUAUUCCUUUUUUAUUCUUUUAUAGCGAAAGGAGUUGGAAAGAGGUUGUUAAUAAGAGAUUGCCGAGAGAAAUAGGUAAAAGAAAUUUCCAUCCAAGAUUUAAAAGUUGGUCCAUUCUUAGUCUAGGUAAAGUCCAUCUUGUUGUGAUAGGAAUGAACAAGAACAAAUAAGUUUUAACCAAUGUAAUACAGAUACCGAUUGUUAUUCUAAAAACUCCACCUAUUUUAUUUGUUUCAAAAGGCUCAGGAACGAAUAUAUAUGGAAUAGAGAUAUUCCAACCGCCCAAGUAAAGAACUAUUACAAAUAAUGAAGAAACUAAUAAGUUUACUUAGGAAGCAAUAUAAAAUAAACCAAAUUUGAUACCUGAAUAUUCGGUUUGAUAACCUGCUACUAAUUCUUCUUCUGCUUCUGGUAAAUCAAAAGGUAAUCUCUCACAUUCUGCUAGAGAAGAAAUAAAAAAAAUGAUAAAUCCUAUAGGUUGACGCGAUAAAUUCCACCCCAAAAAACCCGAUUUUGAUUGUGCCUCAACUAUAUCAAUUGUACUUGAACUGUUAGAUAAUCAUAGUCGGCGAGAACAUCACUGUUCCCAUCGCUAUUACAGAACCGUACAUGAGAUUCUCACCUCAUACAGCUCCUCGAAGGCCAUAAAUAAAUUUAAGGAGAUCGUAUUAUUUAUUUUGCUAUAUUUGUAGGAUAUAUAGGAUCAAAAUAAAAUAAUCUAAUUGAUAGAGGAAGCAUCGUAAAGAUCAAUUAGCGAGAUUUUUGGACGAUACAGUAAUAACCUGCUUACUUAUGUCAUAAUAUGAGAUAAAAGUUAGGAAUCAACUUCUGUAAAAGAGUAGAUCCCCUAAAGUAUUGAGCAGCGGUGUAGCAUCAGAUCCCAAAGAUAGUAAGUCUUUCUUAUGAGGGAAGGUCUUUUCCAAAGAUUCUAUAUAAAUUUCUAUAUAAAAAACCCGAGAUAGUUAACUUUCAAAAAAUUCUAACGAUAGUAGAAGGUCUGCGCUUUAUUCUUCUGAAGGUGGGAGAAAAGAUAAAACUGAUUUUUCAUCCAAAUUCUAGUUUGAAUUUCAUGUAAUGUAAUUAACCCCUUUUGGUUAACUCGAGAAAGAAAAUGGGACACCAAAAGAAUUGACUGCCGAGCUGUAUGAGGUAGGAAACUCUCAAGUACGGUUCUAAUGGAAGGAAUUUGCUUGCCUAUUCUGACCGAGGAGAACAGGCCAUUCGGCAGGGAGAUUUUGAAAUUGCGGAGGCUUGGUUGGAUCAAGCCGCAGAGUAUUGGAAACAAGCUAUAGCGCUUACUCCCAUAAAUUAUAUUGAAGCGCAGAAUUGGUUGAAGUUCACAAGGCAUUUUGAAUAAGAUAAGAGCAUUCCCUUUAUAUUUUUGUAUUUAUUAUUUAAUUUAGUAUUUUUUUAGUAUUUGGUAUAUUUUUUUAUUUCUUAUAAAAAAUUUGUUAUAAUUAUUUGUUUGUUAUCCCUAUCAGUCAAAUAAAAUAAAAGGAUGGUUUCUCUGGGAAGAACCAAUCAAAAAAUUUCAUGAAUUUCAUUAUACCCCUUCUAAGAUCGUCCCCUUUUGUCUGGUAUUUCAUAGGAAUAAACACUACACAGAUAUAAACAGUAGAGAAUAUAUAUUUUCUAUAUUUUCUUUUCUGUUAUUAAAAUGAAUAAAAGAUAGCCUAAUAGAUCCUGGAAUGUCUCUUACUAAUGACUAAUGGCCUCUCACCUGAUUUGGAAUAGAGUAAUAGUAAUAUGUUCUAUGUAAAAAAAAAACAUAAGUAAAAUAUAAAGCAGUCUCGGCUAGAAACUUUUAAUUAAGAUAGGAAUACACUAGGUUGCACAAAAAAUUGUUUUUGCGUUAAUUCAAAGCCCAGAAAGGUCCGUUGAGCGCCUUGUGGCUAUGUCAUAAUAGAUCCGAACACUUGCCUUGGAUCGACUUCCAGAUCAUAAUUACUCUAGUGAAUAACUAAAAAAACUAGAUAAGAUAAAUGGGAGAUAGAAGAGAAAGAAACUAAUUAUAAGUAUCUCUCAUAGGUUCACUAAUUGCUUGACUCGAUUGUUGGCGGAUCUCUUUAUAUGCGUUGUCCGGAAAGAGGAGGACUCAAUGAUUAUUCAUUCGCCGGAACCAGAAGUAUAAAUUUUGGUAGAUAGGGAUCCCGUCAAAACUUCUUUCGAGGAAUGGGCUAGACCGGGUCAUUUCUCAAGAACAAUAGCUAAAGGACCAGAUACUAAUCUGGAACCUACAUGCUGAUGCUCACGAUUUCGAUAGCCAUACCAGUGAUUUGGAGGAGAUUUCUCGAAAAGUAUUUAGUGCUCAUUUCGGCCAACUCUCAAUCAUCUUUCUUUGGCUGAGUGGCAUGUAUUUCCACGGUGCUCGUUUUUCCAAUUAUGAAGCAUGGCUAAGUGAUCCUACUCACAUUGGACCUAGUGCCCAAGUGGUUUGGCCAAUAGCCAAGAAAUAUUGAAUGGUGAUGUGGAGGGGGGGGGGGGGGGUUCCGAGGAAUACAAAUACAGGAUUUCCAUCAAUCGAAUCACUUUCUUAAGAAAUACGAGACAUCUAAGUCAUACAAGUAAAGAGAUUCAUCCAUUGAUAAGAAAAAGAAAAAACGUGAAUGGUGAUUGGAUUGAUGAUAAAAUAGAAUCCUUGGUCGCGAACAGUGAUUCGAUUGAUGAUAAAGAAAGAGAAUUCUUGGUUCAAUUCUCCACCUUAACGACAGAAAAAAGGAUUGAUCAAAUUCUAUUGAGUCUGACUUGUAGUGAUCAUUUAUCAAAGAAUGACUCUGGUUAUCAAGUGAUUGAAGAGCCGGGAGCAAUUUAUUUAUGAUACUUAGUUGACAUUCAUAAAAAGUAUCUAAUGAAUUAUGAGUUCAAUACACCCUGUUUAGCAGAAAGACGGAUAUUCCUUGCUUAUUAUCAGACAACCACUUAUUCACAAACCUCGUGUAGGGUGAAUAGUUUUCAUUUCCCAUCUCAUGGAAAACCCUUUUCGCUCCGCUUAACUAUGUUUAUACUCAAGUAAUCAAAUAUGUCAUGGUUACAGGAGUCUAUACAUCGCAUAUAGGCUUUAACAGCAUCGUGGCAUAACCGUCGAGGUGAGUUCGGGACCUAAAAGAUCGAAUAGAAAGAGACAUAGACAAAUAAAUCCCUUACGAAUUCUAAGGUACUAGGAUUUUAUCAUUCGAAGGGAAGUAUACUACUCAAGAAUUUCACAUUUCAUUUAGAUCGUAAUUGUGAAAAUUGAAUAAGUUGUGAUAAUUGAAUAAAGAAUUCAGAAAUUCGAAAAAAAAAGGAAGAAGGAAUUAAUGAGAGCUUGCUUGGUGUUCAUUAUUCAUUGGGAACUUGAGUAAGGAGUAGCUCUUUUUUUGGUUUUUACCGAUUUUGAAAUUUGAAAGCAGGAACCCUUUUCUUUCUAUUUGGUAUAACUACUUGAGCCGGAUGAGAGGAAACUUUCACGUCCGAUUUUGAAAGGGGGAGACCUAUAGUAUAGGAGUAUAGGAUCCUAUCCCAAUUUUUCUUUUGCUAGGCCCAUAGCUAAAAAACCUACUUUUUUACGAUUACGAGGUUCAUUCGAAUACGAAAUUCAAUCAUGGAAAUACAGUAUUCCACUUUUUUUUACUGCCCAAGGCUUCGAUACAUUUCAAAAUCGAGAAAUUUCUAUAGGAGCUGGUGCUAUCCGAGAAUAAUUAGCCGAUCUAGAUUUGCGAAUUAUUAUAGAUUAUUCAUCGGUAGAAUGGAAAGAAUUAGGGGAAGAAGGGCCUACGGGGAAUGAAUGGGAAGAUCGAAAAGUUGGAAGAAGAAAGGAUUUUUUGGUUCGACGCGUGGAAUUAGCUAAGCAUUUUAUUCGAACAAAUAUAGAACCAGAAUGGAUGGUUUUAUGUCUAUUACCAGUUCAUCCUCCCGAGUUGAGACCGAUCAUUCAGAUAGAUGGGGGUAAACUAAUGAGUUCAGAUAUUAGUGAACUCUAUAGAAGAGUUAUCUAUCGGAACAAUACUCUUAUUGAUCUAUUAACAACAAGUAGAUCUACGCCAGUAGAAUUAGUAAUGUGUUAGGAAAAAUUAGUACAAGAAGUCGUGGAUACACUUCUUGAUAAUGGAAUCCGCGGACAACCAAUGAGAGAUGGUCAUAAUAAGGUUUACAAGUCAUUUUCGGAUGUAAUUGAAGGCAAAGAAGGAAGAUUUCGUGAGACUAUGCUUGGAAAACGAGUUGAUUAUUCGGGGCGUUCUGUCAUUAUCGUAGGCCCCUCAAUUUCAUUACAUCGAUGUGGAUUGCCUCGCGAAAUAGCAAUAGAACUUUUCCAGAUAUUUGUAAUUUGUGGUCUAAUUAGACAACAUCUUGCUUCGAACAUAGGAGUUGCUAAGAGUAAAAUUCGAGAAAAAGAGCCAAUUGUAUGGGAAAUACUUCAGGAAGUUAUGCAGGGGCAUCCUGUAUUACUAAAUAGAGCACUGACUUUGCAUAGAUUAGGCAUACAGGCAUUCCAACCCAUUUUAGUGGAAGGCCGCGCUAUUUGUUUACAUCCAUUAGUUUAUAAGGGAUUCAAUGCAGACUUUGGUGGGGAUCAAAUGGUUGUUCAUGUACCUUUAUCAUUGGAGGCUCAAGCGGAGGCUCGUUUACUUAUGUUUUCUCAUAUGAAUCUCUUAUCUCCAGCUAUUGGAGAUCCCAUUUCCAUACCAACUUAAUAUAUGCUUAUUGGGCUCUAUGUAUUAACAAGCAGGAAUCGCCGAGGUAUUUGUGCAAAUAGGUAUAAUCUAUGUAAACACAGAAAUUAUCAAAAUGAAAGAAUUUACGAUAAUAACAAUCAAUAUACGAAAGAAUCCUUUUUUUCUAAUUCCUAUGAUGCAAUUGGUGCUUAUCGGCAGAAAAGAAUCAAUUUAGAUAGUCCUUUGUGGCUCCGGUGGCAACUAGAUCAACGCGCUAUUGCUUCAAGAGAAGCUCCCGUCGAAGUUCACUAUGAAUCUUUGGGUACCUAUCAUGAGAUUUAUGAACACUAUCUAAUAGUAAGAAAUAUAAAAAAAGAAAUUCUUUGUAUAUACAUUCGAACUACUGUUGGUCAUAUUUCUCUUUAUCGAGAAAUCGAAGAAGCUAUACAAGGGUUUUGCCAAGCCGGCUCAGAUGGUAUCUAAUCAUAGGGAUCUAAGCUAAGUAAUUCUAUGACACUGGCAUGAAUUCUGAUCUCUUCGGUUCAGCUAGGACCCUAGUUCCUGAAUUUCAUUUCCAUGCAAAUCAAGAUCGAGAAAAGGAAGUUUCCAAUCAUUGACUCAAAUCCAUUGUCGAACUCUACUCGGCGGAAUAUGGAGGUACUUAUGGCCAAACGGGCCAAUCUGGUCUUUCACAAUAAAGUGAUAGAUAGAACUGCCAUUAAACGACUUAUUAGUAGAUUAAUAGAUAAUUUUGGAAUGGCAUAUACAUCACACAUCCUGGAUCAAGUAAAGACUUUGGGUUUCCAGCAAGCCACUGCUAUAUCCAUUUCAUUAGGAAUUGAUGAUCUUUUAACAAUACCUUCUAAGGGAUGGCUAGUUCAAGAUGCUGAACAACAAAGUUUGAUUUUGGAAAAACACUAUCAUUAUGGAAAUGUACACGCGGUAGAAAAAUUACGCCAAUCUAUUGAGAUAUGGUAUGCUACAAGUGAAUAUUUGCGACAAGAAGUGAAUCUUAAUUUUAGGAUGACAGAACCCUUUAAUCCAGUCCAUAUAAUGUCUUUUUCGGGAGCUAGGGGAAAUGUAUCUCAAGUACACCAAUUAGUUGGUAUGAGAUGAUUAAUGUCGGAUCCACAAGGACAAUGAUCGAUUUACCUAUUCAAAGCAAUUUACGCGAAGGACUAUCUUUAACAGAAUAUAUCAUUUCUUGCUACGGAGCCUGCAAAGGGGUUGUCGAUACCGCUGUAUGAACAUCAGAUGCUGGAUAUCUUACGCGUAGACUUAUUGAAGUAGUUCAACACAUUGUUGUACGUAGAACAGAUUGUGGCACCACCCGAGGGAUUUCUGUGAGUCCUCGAAAUGGGAUGAUGUCAGAAAGAAUUUUUAUUCAAACAUUAAUUGGUCAUGUAUUAGCAGACAAUAUAUAUAUAGGUCUAUGAUGCAUUGCCAUUCGAAAUCAAGAUAUUGGGAUUAGACUUGCCAAUCGAUUCAUAACCUUUCAAACACAAACAAUAUCUAUUCGAACUCCCUUUACUUGAAGGAGUACGUCUUAGAUCUAUCGAUUAUGUUAUAGCCGGAGUCCUACUCAUGGCGAUCUAGUGGAAUUGGGGGAAGCUAUAGGUAUUAUUGCAGGUCAAUCCAUUGGAGAGCCGGGUACUUAACUAACGUUAAGAACAUUUCAUACUGGCGGAGUAUUCACAGGGGGUAGUGCAGAACAUGUAUGAGCCCCUUCUAAUGGAAAAAUAAAAUUUAACGAGGAUUUGGUUCAUCCCAUACGUACACGUCAUAGGCAUCCUGCUUUUCUAUAUUAUAUAGACUUGUAUGUAACUAUUGAAAGUCACGAUAUUAUACAUAACGCUACUAUUCCACCAAAGAGUUUCCUUUUAGUUCAAAACAAUUAAUAUGUAGAAUCAGAACAAGUGAUUUCUGAAAUUCGGGCGGGAACAUACACUUUGAAUUUUAAAGAGAAGGUUCGAAAACAUAUUUAUUCCGAUUCAGAAGGGGAAAUGCACUGGAGUACUGAUGUAUACCAUGCACCUGAAUUUACAUAUAGUAAUGUCCAUCUCUUACCAAAAAUAAGUCAUUUAUGGAUAUUAUCAGGAAAUUCGUGCAGAUCUAGUAUAGUUCCUUUUUCGCUCCAUAAGGAUCAAGAUCAAAUGAACGUUCAUUCUCUUUCUAUCAAAAGAAGAUAUAUUUCUAGUCCUUCCGUAAAUUCCGUAAAUAAUGAUCAAGUUAUAUUUCUUUAGUUAAGAUUUUUCGGGUAAAAAACCAAGUAGGGUUCUGAGGACUCAAUCGUAUGGAUAUGUAAAAUACAGGAUUUCCAAUCCUAGCAGGAAAGGGAGGGAAACGGAUACUCAAUUUAAAGUGAGGAGGCACUAGUCACUGCGACCCCCUUUGUGAGGAGGCACCCCUUCUCCCGAAGUUACGGGGCUAUUUUGCAGAGUUCCUUAGAGAGAGUUGUCUCGCGCCCCUAGGUAUUCUCUACCUACCUACCUGUGUCAGUUUCGGGUAUAGGUACCCUUUUGUUAAAGGUUGUUCGAGAUUUCCUGGGAGUAUGGCAUGGGUUACUUCAGCGCCGUAGAUGAUCAAUUGGAUUAUUUCUUUGUGAAUUCCGAUACGAAACUUUUGUAGAUGUGUUUUCAGAUAUUUCUUUAUCAUUUCGUCCAAGCGAAUGAGUUCCUCUAAUUCUAUGAACUUUUCUAGAAUACUUUUUUCUUGAAUAUCAUUUACAAAAGUUUCGGAUUUACUAGUAUUACACCAAUUAAUAACCCAAGAUUCCAAACUUUUAUUAAAUAAAAAAGAGAUCCACCAGGGCAAAAAAACUAUAGCUGUAAGAUAUAGAAAGGGAAUAAAUGUUUUUUUUUCAUUUUUUCGUCUGUGAAUUUUUAAUGAACACACCUCCAUAUGAUCUAAUAUUUUUAUCAAGCAUAAGUUCUAUUAUGAGGCUUUGAACUUAUGAAUCUAUUCCCUAUUUUUUAUUUGUGAGUCAACGGUUAGUCCUUGAAUUUUGAAAGANNNNNNNNNNNNNNNNNNNNNNNNNNNNNNNNNNNNNNNNNNNNNNNNNNNNNNNNNNNNNNNNNNNNNNNNNNNNNNNNNNNNNNNNNNNNNNNNNNNNNNNNNNNNNNNNNNNNNNNNNNNNNNNNNNNNNNNNNNNNNNNNNNNNNNNNNNNNNNNNNNNNNNNNNNNNNNNNNNNNNNNNNNNNNNNNNNNNNNNNNNNNNNNNNNNNNNNNNNNNNNNNNNNNNNNNNNNNNNNNNNNNNNNNNNNNNNNNNNNNNNNNNNNNNNNNNNNNNNNNNNNNNNNNNNNNNNNNNNNNNNNNNNNNNNNNNNNNNNNNNNNNNNNNNNNNNNNNNNNNNNNNNNNNNNNNNNNNNNNNNNNNNNNNNNNNNNNNNNNNNNNNNNNNNNNNNNNNNNNNNNNNNNNNNNNNNNNNNNNNNNNNNNNNNNNNNNNNNNNNNNNNNNNNNNNNNNNNNNNNNNNNNNNNNNNNNNNNNNNNNNNNNNNNNNNNNNNNNNNNNNNNNNNNNNNNNNNNNNNNNNNNNNNNNNNNNUUAAAAGAGAAUUUCUUUAUUCUAUAUUUUAUUCCGAAAUACUUUGUUUUGAUUUAUGAGAUGGGUCUAUUAUUUCGAUUUAUUACUUGUUUUGUUACUAAAUUUACUGAAUAUUGAAAUUGAAUUUAGAUACACAUAAAAAGGUUUGAUUUUAUUUUAGAAUUGUUCCGUAUAUAUCCGUAUAUAUAUAUAUAUAUAUAUAUAAUAUAUGUCUUCUUUAGUUCAUCAAUAUUGUAUUGUGAAAUUUCAGUUAAGUUAUGCUAUAACUAUAAAAAAACGAAGACUCUUGGAUUUUUUCAUUCCUGUUAAGAAAAUGUUCAUUCUUCAGCUCAUUUCAAAAUACUUCAAUUGGUACACGCAAAAAAUAGGCCAAUUCCGCUACCUUUUGCUCAAUCUCUCGUGGAGUCAAAUUCUCAUCAGUACGAGUCAAAGGAAUGGACCCUCGGCCUUUGGUUUCCAUAUAAAGGACACGCCGAGCAAAAAUACCCUCUUUCACUUCUAUUCUAAUAGACUGAAUAUCCUUCAUAAGGAAUCGGAGGAAGAUGCGACGAUUUUUUCCAGGGAAUCCCCAGCGAAAAAUACACACUAUUCCUUCUUUUCUGUCGAAUCGAUCAUAACCACUACCUACAUUCCACAAAAUUGUGUACCACAAAUAAGAACUAAUAAAUAGACCGGCAAUCCCAUAGAAAGACAUCACGAUCCCUUGUGGAAAAAAAAUUAUUUGCUGAGACGGAAAUAAAGAUAUCAAAUUUCUGCCAAGAUAACUCGAAAUUCCAACCAUUAAAAUCCCAAUGAACCUAAAAAAAGUAUAAAGGCCCAGCAGAAAUUACUUGUUUUGCGAGACCCCGCUAUAAGUUCUAUCCAUAUAUGUUCUUAUCGCCAACUCAUACUAGAUCCAAUUAUUUUUUAUUUGAAGCGGGAGACUAGCCCAAAUGAAUUUGACUUUUUUUUUUUUUUUUUCCGAAGUAACUUUCAUCAACUCAGAUUAUUCUGGUGUGAAUCUUUAGGAGGAAUUCAUCGAGUUCGUUAGAUUAAAAAAAAGAGAGCUCAGCCCCCCUAUAGGAUCCCCUAUCUGCACAUAUAUAAAAAUAUCAGCUUUACUUUGCAUUUCUUUCAAGCAUCCGCCACAGUUUCGAUUUAUUUUCAAAUAGUCCAUUUACUUAUAUAUCAUAUAUCAUAUUUACAUCUGCAUAAGAACCCUUUCAUUUUCAUUUACGUUUGAAGGGAGCUGCUCGUAUGUUAUAUCAUAUUAUACUAAACUAAAGAGAUAUCCAUAUUAUAUCUGUAUUAUAUUAUAAUCCAAGUCUAAGUCUUGAAAAAAAAAAAGAAAUGAAAUCUACCCCCGUUAGACCUAAUUGGAUCUAAAAAAUCUUAUUUUUUUGAACAUGAAGAGAUAAGGAAGCCAUCGCAAUUGCCGGCAAUACUAAGCCUACUAAAGGCACAAAAAUGGAGGGUAAGCUGUUGAGAAUUGUCAUAGAAUAGGCACCUCGAUUUAAUAUUUGUACCUGUUAUUUAAUUUUUUUAUUAUAUAUUAUAUUAUUUUUAUAUUAUAUUAUUUUGAAUAUUUUAAUAUAUAUUUAAUAUAUUUAUAUAUUUUCAUUAUUUUUUUUAUUAUUAUUUUUUAUUAUUAUAAUUAUUUUUUUAUUAAUUAUUAUUUUAUUCUAUUAAUUUAAUAAUUUAAAUUAAUUAUAAUUAUAUUUAUAUUAAUUAUUCUAUUAUUAGUUAUUUAUUAGUUAUUUAGUUAUUAGAAAGAUUUCUUAUAAUCAUUAAAAUUCAUAUAUAAUUAUACUAAGUAUAUCUAAGUGAGUAUAUAUAAUAUAAUAAAGUGCAAAGAGCGUAGAACUAACUAAAUGACUUAUUCAUAUUUCUACAUGAAAUAUGAUAAUCCAUUUAUUUGUUAUUCUUCUUUUAUUAUCUUUUUUUUUCUUGUCUUAUAACUUUCAUUUUUCUUUUUUCUUUUUUUUUAACUUUACUUUAAUAGAAAAUAUUUUAAUAUAUUUCGUAUAAAAUAAAAUAAAAAAGAGUUUUUCCGAUUAUAAAUUUCCCCAAAAUUCGUUAUAAUUUAGAAUCCGUCGAUUUUUUUUAGUAAAAAAAAAGGGAUUCCCGGGAGAUAUAUAAUUAUGCAAAACUCUAUAUUUUCUAUGCAUAGGUAAGAAAAGAACAUGAAAUUCGUUUUAUUUAUUAUACCUUGUCCAUUUUUUCACGAAAAAAGAAAUUUACUCUUUUUCUUGUUGAUCUUGUUGAUAGAGGUUUCUUAAUUAGUAAUCAGAAAUAUCGGUAAAAAAAAAUUAUCUACAUGAUUCUUUCUACAAUUUACUCUUAUGUUAUGUCACAAAAAAAUCAAAAAAAUUGAUUUUUCCUUUGAUUCUGCUAAAAAAAAUACCUGCUCGCCAGAAAUAAAAAUGAAUUAACUAAUUUAAAUUUAAUUAACUCAUUUUUAUUUUUACUUUUAAUUAAGUAAUUUAAUUUAAUAUUUAAUUAAUUUAACUUUAGACUCUACUUGAUUUAUGAUUCAAAGGAAAGAAAUCGUGGAGCUGAAGUAACUCAUUCAGAACGCCUUUUAACGGAUUACGUGGUACGAUUGAAUCGAAUAAGCCCUUAUAGAAUAAAAAUUCGGCUGAUUGUGAACCUUCAGGUACUGUCUUAUUCAAUGUUUGUUCAAUUACUCUUUUACCUGCAAAUGCAAUAUAGGCGUUAGGUUCAGCAAUAAUGAUAUCCCCCAACAUACCAAAACUAGUCGUCACCUCGCCUGUUGUAGGAGAUGUAAGGAUUGAUACAUAAAAUAACUUUUUAUUCGAUUGAUAAUCAUAUAAAGCAGAAGAUAUUUUAGCCAUUUGCAUCAAGCUCAAACUUCCUUCUUGCAUGCGCACUCCUCCGGAAAGACACACUAAAAUAAGAGGUAAAAAUUUAUUGGUAGCAUACUCGAUCAAAUGAGUGAUUUUCUCACCUACUACGGAUCCCAUACUACCCCCUAUAAAUUGAAAAUCCAUAAUCCCAAUUGCUACGAGAGUGCCGUUUAGUUGACCUGUGCCUGUUUCAAUGGCCUCGGUUAAUCCUGUCUUUCUUUGAUAAGAAUCAAUACGAUCUUUAUAAGGUUCCUCUUCUGAAUGAAAUUCAAUGGGAUCCAGAGAUACCAUAUCUUCAUCCAUAGGAUCCCAAGUGCCUAGGUCAAUCGAAAGUUCAAUUCUAUCUGAACUACUCAUUUUCAAAUGAUAUCCACAUUGUUCACAAAUAUUCAUUCUUGACUUAAAAAAUUUCUUAUAAUUUAAUCCAUAACAAUUUUCGCAUUGAACCCACAAAUGCUUGUAUUUUUGAGUUAUAGUUAUAUCGAGAUCAUUAGAACUUUCUCUUCUAGUUAAAUCGCUACCAUUCGUACUAGUUCUUAGACUGGAACUCUGGCUUUCAUUACUAUUUCCACUUUCACCACAAAUGUAACUAUAAAUGGAACUUUCGCUGUAAUUGUAACUGCCAGUUAAAAUAUAACUAUCAAUACAGACUUGAGAACGAAGAUAACUGCCAAUGCAACUAUUGAUGUAAUUCUUCCAACUAUAUUUAGUAUCAUACAUAUAAUGAUCAUAGUAGGAAUCGCCACUCCUAGACCCAUUAUUCAGAGAACUAGAAUUCCAAUAACUAUAAAAAUAACUUUCUAAUUCACUCAGAAAAAAAGUAAUAUUUCUCUUCUUCU
rnacentral:lncRNA from 1 species